CAGCAAGGCUUCCAGCGGGGCAGGGCCUGGCGUGGCCCCCGCCCUUCCUGCAGCUCUUGCCAGAGCAGCUCUGGGCCGGUUUGAGGCCUCUCGUGGCACUUCCGGCGAGAGGUUAUAGACAGCCCGGACACCC